rnacentral:misc_RNA from 1 species
UUUCCGUAGGUGAACCUGCGGAAGGAUCAUUCAUAAUAAGUGUUUUAUGGCACUUUUUAAAUCCAUAUCCACCUUGUGUGCAAUGUCAGUUGUUCUCUUCUAUGCGAACGACCAAACAUAAACCAACUCUUUAUCUCUUUGUCUGAAAAAUAUUACGAGUAAAAUUAUUCAAAAUAUAACUUUCAACAACGGAUCUCUUGGCUCUC